AUUACUUACUAGAGGCGGAAUCCGGAACUAAAGUUCUCCCUCUACCUACUUCCCGCGAGUUAUGACCACAGCAUACGGGUGCACUGGAAAAGGAGAGGAUCUCUUCCGACGCAGGGUUUCGCACGAUAAUAUGGCUGCGUCCUGGCUUCGGAGGUAUAUGCCUCUCUCCUUUGAAAAAGGGCUGUUCCAGCUUGGCUAUCUUUCUCUUUCUGGGCACUCCUAACUUGACAGGCCCGGAGCCCCAGGAAGCACUUGAGGCGUGUUGCAACGCCGAAGCACUGGAUGCACGAUAAACUAAUGGGUGUAUUUGAGUUAACCUCUGGAUGAGCAGGUGAUUAUGACACCUGCAGGUGGGAGCAGACCUUACUACACUGCGGCUUUGGAAAGCACCAGGAAUACAAAGAAUGCAGGGAACUGCCGUGCCCUUUAUGAACCAAACACUGGCAGCAGAAGAUUUACCAGAAGACAAUUUUUUAAAGAAAUUAGA